rnacentral:tRNA from 1 species
UCUAAUAUGGCAGACUAGUGCAAUAGAUUUAAGCUCUAUAUAUGAAAUUUAUAAUUUCUAUUAGAA